rnacentral:rRNA from 1 species
ACUCCUACGGGAGGCAGCAGCAAGGAAUUUUCGUCAAUGGGCGCAAGCCUGAACGAGCAACGCCGCGUGGAGGAUGACGGCCUUCGGGUUGUAAACUCCUUUUUCGGGGGACGAUAAUGACGGUACCCCGGGAAUAAGGCUCGGCUAACUCUGUGCCAGCAGCCGCGGUAAU